rnacentral:rRNA from 1 species
UACGUAGGGUGCGAGCGUUGUCCGGAAUUAUUGGGCGUAAAGAGCUUGUAGGCGGUUUGUCGCGUCUGCUGUGAAAAUCCGGGGCUCAACCCCGGACUUGCAGUGGGUACGGGCAGACUAGAGUGUGGUAGGGGAGACUGGAAUUCCUGGUGUAGCGGUGAAAUGCGCAGAUAUCAGGAGGAACACCGGUGGCGAAGGCGGGACUCUGGGCCGAUACUGACGCUGAGGAGCGAAAGCGUGGGGAGCAAACAGG